GUGGGUAUAGCUCAGUGGGAGAGCACAUGCUUAGCAUGCACGAAGUCCAGGGUUCAAUCCCCAGUACCUCCA
rnacentral:tRNA from 1 species